GCCCGGGUGGCGGAACUGGCAGACGCGGGGGGCUUAAACCCCCCUUCCCGCAAGGGAGUGUGGGUUCGAACCCCACCCCGGGCACC
rnacentral:tRNA from 1 species